GCAUUAAUGGGGUAGUGGUAACCUGGGUCGUUGCCAUAUUGAUUUCCCUUGGUAAACUCGACCCGCCGGGGGUUCGAUUCCCUCUUAAUGCA
rnacentral:tRNA from 1 species